GGUUCUGUACAUGCAGGACUGCUUUCAUUUCUGUUUUAUGAGAUUAAAAACUCAUCUUACCUCCUCGUGGCUCUCCUGGUUCCUGCAUUUUAGGGUCACAAACAAUUGCAGCCAUGCGAGUUCCUCACACUGAAGAUUCUUUUUUCUUUCCUGCAUAUUUUACCUGAGGAGUGUGUGCUGAAUUCCUCGUCUAACCGGGGAGAAGAGGGAGUCCAAGUCUAGUGCUGAAUGAUACAACCAUCCUCUCAGUCGGCAUCCCGCAAUGCAGACGGGAUAGGCUCCAGCACACCCACGACCCUGAGAGGGACAAGCGGUAGAAAAUGGAUGGAUGGGCUGGGAGCCAAGAGACAGCUCUUCUCUCAAAACAGCGUUCCAUAUUAGCCAUAUGCUUCAGGGGUUAUCGGCCGUGCUUGUGGGGGCGCUUUUGUGUCAGCGUCCUGGUGGCCAUUGUCUGAUGACCUCCUGGUGAAGAUGGUUCCUGUGAUAGUGUUUACUCACAUGUCUCCUCUGUACUCUGCCAUGCAAUCAUUGGUCCAUAUAGUUGCAAAUGUGUAUAUGUUGUGUGUUUGUGUUUAGUAUCUGUGUCCGUGCGUACGUUUUUGAUAAUGGGGGAUAUGGGUCACCUGGGUAUUGUUUUUAACUUUUAUUUUAAUUAUGAAAAACGCUUUAUAAAUAAAGUUUUAUUGAUUGAUUGAUAAGUUAUCUAUGAUGAUUAUAAAGCUGUAUAAAUAAAUCUGUAUUGCAUGUACACUGGCAUGUCUUUCGAAGCAGUACAGGGCGCCAAAAAUGGGCAUUAUGACGGAUACAUUUUGGCGCGUGCUCACCAUACCGUUCUUCACACUCCGAUCCCAAUAUGGUAAACAUCACUGGUGCA